rnacentral:rRNA from 1 species
CCUACGGGGGGCAGCAGUGGGGAAUAUUGGACAAUGGGGGCAACCCUGAUCCAGCCAUGCCGCGUGUGUGAAGAAGGCCCUCGGGUUGUAAAGCACUUUCAGUGAGGAAGAACGCCUGGUGGUUAAUACCCAUCAGGAAAGACAUCACUCACAGAAGAAGCACCGGCUAACUCCGUGCCAGCAGCCGCGGUAAUACGGAGGGUGCGAGCGUUAAUCGGAAUUACUGGGCGUAAAGCGCGCGUAGGUGGCUUGAUAAGCCGGUUGUGAAAGCCCCGGGCUCAACCUGGGAACGGCAUCCGGAACUGUCAAGCUAGAGUGCAGGAGAGGAAGGUAGAAUUCCCGGUGUAGCGGUGAAAUGCGUAGAGAUCGGGAGGAAUACCAGUGGCGAAGGCGGCCUUCUGGACUGAGACUGACACUGAGGUGCGAAAGCGUGGGUAGCAAACAGGAUUAGAUACCCCGGUAGUC